GAUGAACGCUAGCGGCAGGCCUAACACAUGCAAGUCGAGGGGUAUAAAAGAGCUUGCUUUUUUAGAGACCGGCAAACGGGUGCGGAACACGUACGCAAUCUGCCCCUUAUCACGGGGAUAGCCCCAGAGAAAUUUUGGGAUUAAUACCCGAUAGUAUUAUAAUAAGGCAUCUUGUUGUAAUUAAAGCUAUGGCGGAUAAGGAUGAGCGUGCGCAAGAUUAGCUAGUUGGUGAGGUAACGGCUCACCAAGGCGACGAUCUUUAGCUGAUGUGAGAGCAUGAUCAGCCACACGGGCACUGAGACACGGGCCCGACUCCUACGGGAGGCAGCAGUGAGGAAUAUUGGUCAA
rnacentral:rRNA from 1 species